rnacentral:rRNA from 1 species
CAGUCGCCGCGGUAAUACAGAGGGUGCGAGCGUUAAUCGGAUUUACUGGGCGUAAAGCGUGCGUAGGCGGUUUGUUAAGACAGAUGUGAAAUCCCCGGGCUUAACCUGGGAACUGCAUUUGUGACUGGCCGGCUAGAGUAUGGCAGAGGGAGGUGGAAUUCCACGUGUAGCAGUGAAAUGCGUAGAUAUGUGGAGGAACACCGAUGGCGAAGGCAGCCUCCUGGGCCAAUACUGACGCUCAUGCACGAAAGCGUGGGGAGCAAACAGGAUUAGAUACCCCUGUAGUCCCUGUCUCUUAUAC